CCUACGGGAGGCAGCAGUGAGGAAUAUUGGUCAAUGGACGAGAGUCUGAACCAGCCAAGUAGCGUGAAGGAUGACUGCCCUAUGGGUUGUAAACUUCUUUUAUAUGGGAAUAAAACGUUCCACGUGUGGGAUUUUGUAUGUACCAUAUGAAUAAGGAUCGGCUAACUUCGUGCCAGCAGCCGCGGUAAUACGGAGGAUCCGAGCGUUAUCCGGAUUUAUUGGGUUUAAAGGGAGCGUAGGUGGAUGGUUAAGUCAGUUGUGAAAGUUUGCGGCUCAACCGUAAAAUUGCAGUUGAAACUGGCAGUCUUGAGUACAGUAGAGGUGGGCGGAAUGCGUGGUGUAGCGGUGAAAUGCUUAGAUAUCACGAAGAACUCCGAUUGCGAAGGCAGUUCACUGGACUGCAACUGACACUGAGGCUCGAAAGUGUGGGUAUCAAACAGGAUUAGAUACCCCAGUAGUC
rnacentral:rRNA from 1 species